AGUGAGUCAUGAUCUCGCUCACAGUGAAUUAUGAGUCUACCAUCACUCUGAUUGAAUUAACUUGAUGUGAAAUCUCACUGAAGGUUGAUUGUCCCUGAGAUCAGUGAAACAAUGAGGAAUUUUUUGUGAAGUCAAGAAAGUUAAUAACCUAGAGUAGAAUUCUGUUGUGAGAAUCCGAGAAGCCAUUUAAAGCAAUGCAGAGUUCAUUGACAGAUGGCUAGUCAAGACAGUUGCACUGUAGUGAUUAUUUGAGAUUAAGAGAACACAACUUCAAGUCAUUUUGGAGAGGUAAACUGAUAAACAUAAUGUAAUAUAUAUGAAUCAGAGACAUAGAUUACAUGUAAAUACCAGAUAUCUCUGUUAUUUAUGUCUCUGGAUGAAUGAAGUCAUUGCAUGAGUAAUUGUUUAUAAACUUGUAAUGAAUUCAAACAUAGAUUUCUAUGUUCAUCUAUAUGAUAACUGAUUUUUCCUUUGCGCGUAUAUUUAGCAAUUAGUCAUCCAGAAUUGUAUACGAUUUUUUUAAAGAUUUUAAUUUCUGCAAUUUCACAUUAUAACUUAUGUAUUUAGGUAUAUGCAACAAUAUAUAUGCAUGUUACAGAUUCGUUCACAGUAAAAAUAUACUGUUACAGUAGAAUAUUUGGGAGGAAGGCACCAGAAGACAAUAUUGUCAAACUGUAUGUUUCAAACAUUGUCAAGAAUGUAUGAGACAGUAUGAGUUUGUUAUGAAUGAUCAUUAUGAAUCUAGUUAUUUGUGUUUGAUAUGAUGUAUAGUUAGAUGCAUAAUCGUUAUAAUAAUCCAUUUUAAUAUAUAUCAUGAUAUUGUUAAUUAUAGGAAUGAUUGUAUAAAUAUAUUUUGUUUCAUUGCUAUUGUCUUUGAUAUGAACAACUUACAAAUAACGUGUGCUUUUUCUACCUUUCUGUGUUUUAUUUGCAUUUCUACACUCUUAAUUUGAAUUUGAUGAUGUACAUGUACUCUGAGUCUUUUAUUUUUUUCUAUGUUAUGUUAUCAUGUGUAUGCAUUACAUAAUGACUUGACAAGAAAUGUCCAGACAAAACUCUUUGUUUAACUAUGGCUGUUUAUUGAGCUCUUGUUGAUAAAUAAAAAUGCUUUUU
rnacentral:sRNA from 1 species